UAAAUGUUAUUCAUGCGUUUAUUUUUUUGAUGGAAGCACGGUGUUAAAAAUUUUAAUCUUAUAUUUUCCUUUCAUGAUUUCUUUUAUUCCUUUUUCUUCCACAUUCUCUUUUCUUAGUUUCAGGGAUCAAACAUAAAGAUCCUUUGACUACAUAUUUUCAGGAAGCUGAUUCAAGGAUGUGAGAGUUUGAUCAAGAGAACUUGAGGUGUCCUACUUACUAAAUUUAUUCAAAGAUGGAUUUUCUAUUGGAAAAUGUAACACGGUCAGCAUCAUGAUACUCAGGAGUUUCGCAUUCAUCACGGAAAGAAAAAAGGUUUGCUUGAAGAUGCACACCAAGCUUGAGAAAAUGACCAAGAGAUAUUCAAUAGUAGUAGACCAGAGGACACAUGAACUGAUGAACUUUUGCUGACAUAUAAAUUACAUUUGAGUAAAAGGUGCAAAAAGAAGCUUGAAGGGUUAGACAAAGUUAAGAUCUUUAUUUUAUGAACUUAAAAAGUAAGAUGGU